GGGUGAGUAACACGUGGGCAAUCUGCCCUGCACUCUGGGACAAGCCCUGGAAACGGGGUCUAAUACCGGAUAUGACUGUCCAUCGCAUGGUGGAUGGUGUAAAGCUCCGGCGGUGCAGGAUGAGCCCGCGGCCUAUCAGCUUGUUGGUGAGGUAGUGGCUCACCAAGGCGACGACGGGUAGCCGGCCUGAGAGGGCGACCGGCCACACUGGGACUGAGACACGGCCCAGACUCCUACGGGAGGCAGCAGUGGGGAAUAUUGCACAAUGGGCGAAAGCCUGAUGCAGCGACGCCGCGUGAGGGAUGACGGCCUUCGGGUUGUAAACCUCUUUCAGCAGGGAAGAAGCGAAAGUGACGGUACCUGCAGAAGAAGCGCCGGCUAACUACGUGCCAGCAGCCGCGGUAAUACGUAGGGCGCAAGCGUUGUCCGGAAUUAUUGGGCGUAAAGAGCUCGUAGGCGGCUUGUCACGUCGGUUGUGAAAGCCCGGGGCUUAACCCCGGGUCUGCAGUCGAUACGGGCAGGCUAGAGUUCGGUAGGGGAGAUCGGAAUUCCUGGUGUAGCGGUGAAAUGCGCAGAUAUCAGGAGGAACACCGGUGGCGAAGGCGGAUCUCUGGGCCGAUACUGACGCUGAGGAGCGAAAGCGUGGGGAGCGAACAGGAUUAGAUACCCUGGUAGUCCACGCCGUAAACGGUGGGCACUAGGUGUGGGCAA
rnacentral:rRNA from 1 species